UACGUAGGGGGCAAGCGUUAUCCGGAUUUACUGGGUGUAAAGGGAGCGUAGACGGAAUUGCAAGUCUGAUGUGAAAAUCCGGGGCCCAACCCCGGAACUGCAUUGGAAACUGUAUUUCUAGAGUGUCGGAGAGGUAAGUGGAAUUCCUAGUGUAGCGGUGAAAUGCGUAGAUAUUAGGAGGAACACCAGUGGCGAAGGCGGAUUGCUAGACUGUAACUGACACUGAGGCACGAAAGCGUGGGGAGCAAACAGG
rnacentral:rRNA from 1 species